AUACUUAAGUAGUAAUAGUUAUAGUCUUGAAACUUAAAGAAUUUGGCGGUAUUUUAAUCUUUUCAGAGGAACCUGUCCUAUAAUCGAUAUUCCACGUUAAAUUUUACUAAAUUAUUUGUAUAUCGUUGUCGGAAGAAUAAAAUUUUCUAAUAUUAAAAAUUUAAUAUAUGUCAAAUCAAGGUGCAGUUUAUAAUUUAGAAGAGAUGGGUUACAAUAAAAGUAUUUAGAAUUUUAAUGAAGGUGGAUUUGAAAGUAAAUUAAUUUUAAAAAAUUUAAUUGAUUAUAGUUCUAAAAUAUGU
rnacentral:rRNA from 1 species